GUUCAGAGACCUGGGUGGUGGCACUGAAAACACAGCUGGAGACAACAGAGAGCAGAACCUGUCGGAGAGAAUGCAGCUACAGUGAACUGAACAACAGUACUGUGCAAGACUUUACAGACCUAAUGUGAAAAAGAGAGAAGAUGCAACUACAUGAACAUGGAAGAAACUUUGAAAUGAAAGGAACAGUUCAACUUUGUCAUGUAAAAAUAAGACAUUUGGAACAUUUGACCUAUGUGUUGCAUAUGUAUAUUUUUUAGCUGAACAUCUUAAACCCAUAAACAUUUUUAUACUGCUCUUUUAAUAAUAUAAAGAUAACGUUUUAUACAUCGCCAUCUAUAGUUAUUCGACAUAAAUAUAUUCAAAUGAAAGCCUUUAUAUUAAUAAAAUGGUUUUUAAAAAGAAAUAAGGAAUGAUUUUACAGUGUUUGCAAAAAUCCUCUAUUGAUCUACAUCAGUGAUGAUGUCACAAUUUAGUGUCAUAAACUUGCCUUCAUGUCGUGCUGCCUUUAUAUAUUUGAUUGCCAUAAUUCAUCACAUCAAAAAACACAUCGAAAUAAUUAUUGUGCAUCUGUUUUUUUACAUUCCAGUUGGAAGGAUUCUCUUCUCCUUGAUAAAUUGAUAACUUUGUGAAUUGGUUUACAUUGUUCUUUUUUCAUUCCUUAAUUUUGUAAAUGGAAUUAUUUUCACCUGACUAAUAAAUGACUAGAUUUGAUUA